GCUGCUGACUGGCUCCGGGAGCUGGGAAGAGCAGGGCAGGUGGAGCUGCCAGGCGCCCACAUAGGUACCCUCACCACGUUGGUCCUGCCCCAAAGGCCCUGCACCGGGAAGAGCCUGGGCUAUGAAAGGACCCUCCCAGAUGCCCACUUUGUCCUGCAUCUCCUCGGUCCAGUCUUCUUUUUUUUUCAAAAGCCACUCAGAAAGCAUUCUCUCCCUCUGACUCUUCCAUCAGGAAGAGAAGAACGAUCAUCAGUGGCUAAUGGCAGCUGCAGAAGCAAGCCAAGAGGCGGCUUCACGCUCAGGAGAGAACGCUGCGCCUCCUCAUGGUUUCGGGUGCUCUACACGUUCAGAGAAACUUCUCCAGUAACAAACUAGGAGCGAGCCCUGAAAGCACAGUCUCGUGCCCAGUCCUCUUGAAGAAGGGCACUCACUCCUGGUGGCACUCAAGGGUGCAGCAGGGGCAGGGGCAAGGCUCACCUGGAUGAGGAGCUGCUCGCCGGAGGCCCUCCACUCCCCAGUAAGCUGGCCAGGCCUGGCCCAGUCAGGGCCCCCAGCCCACCUACGAGGAGCAAGGAGACGCAUGCUCAGGUGUCACUCACCUGGAGUGCCCGCCUCGCCCACCAAAGCAGCAGAAAUGCCCCGCACGGAAGUCAAGGGGCGAGCAGGGGGAGGUGUGGACCCUGUGAGCGGGUGCCUGCUCAGAUCAGUGUUCUGGAAGCCAAUUCCUAAGUCAAUGCCUCUGUUCCAUUCGUUACGCUUGGGGUCAAGGUAAUAGCAGCGCAAAUCCAGUAGAGAAGUGCAUCCUCGCUGUCUGUGAGACACACCCACCCAAACCCCGAAGGUGGCAGCAGGCCCCUCCUCAGCCGGCCAGGCUCCCCUGAGCCGCACAGCGGGAUCCUCACUGGGGGCCCUGGAAGGCCUUGCCCACUCGGCUCCCAUUCAAACCAGAAGGCUCACAGGCCCUCCUCCAGAGAAGGCAACACAGGGAACACAUAGACACCACUCAGCCAAUUAGGAGCUUAAAGGAAACGGACUCCAAGGCAAAAGCAACCACAAGCUGAAGGUUGUCCGAAUUAAAACAAAGGCCCCGGGGCCAGAGGGCGUUACCCAGUCCUCCGAGGCCGGCGGGUCCGAUGAGCUGCAUGAGCUGGCUGUGGCUCAUGUUCCCCAGCAGGCUCUGCAGGCCGCCCUCGCCUGGAAGACAGAAGGUGCUCAGGCUCAGGGCCCGCCUGCGCCCGCCCCGCAGUGCCUUGGGAAGGUGCUCUCAGAAGGGCUCAUACCACUGGCGCCUUCAGGCGAGGAAGAGCUAAGCCCGACAGCCCCCAGGACUGCCCCUCCAAGAGUUGCAUGAAAUGAGUCGGUGGGUGAGUCUCUGACACUGUUCUCGCCUGAGGAUGCGAGUGGGGACCUGGGAAGGGUUUCCACCUGGGACUCCUCACUUGCACUUAAAACAGCUGGUCUGGGCCACGGCCAGGGACUCAGUGGCUAGAGCACCACCCCAUGAGGCCAAGAUGGAGAGUGUGAUCCCUGGUCAAGGCGCGUGCGAGGACCCACCAGUGAGCGCACAAGUGCAGCAGCAGGCGAUGCUUCUCUCCCCUUCCCCCACUCCCUCAAAUCAGUUUUAAAAAACCACAACUGGUCUGCAUCAUCGAGGGCCACCUGAUACCUCCUGGGGCCUCUGAGCACAGGCAGGGGGAGGGGAGCAUUACCGCCCAGUGCAGACAGCUCGUGGCCUCCACUCCCGCUCGCCCCCAGUGCUCCGGGCAUCGGUGGGUUGUUCAGAUACUCGUUGACUUUCCGGCAAUGCUCCUCGUCCUGGUCCGUCUUAGGCUCCUGCGGGAGGACAGGACAACAGCCGCAGCUGAGCAGCCCGCCCACCACAGACCAGACUUACAGAGGAGGGACCUAGGCUCAGACAGAAGAAGUCACUGUCCACGUUCCCAUGGCACCAGGGAGAAGACCCAGCAGUCCCCUACAAUGGACGUGCCCGUUAGAGACAAAAGCGCUAAAAACGCGAGUCGUGCUAGGGCAGGUCCCGUCCUGCAGGCCUGAGGCUUCCUUCGACCAUAGACAGCCCCAGGCCCUUCCUUCAACACAGGCACUCGAUGCAAUGACCUCUACCACGGCACUGCCCACACACCACACCCGGCCCAGGCCCCUCGGGGUCCACAGGGCCCCACAAUGAGCCCCUCCCUGGGUGUGAUGGGGGUCAUCGGGCAUGCCACCCUGUCAGUGCCCAGAACUGCAAGACGAAGCGCCCAAGACGGAUCCGUCCACCGUCACCGAGCAUGGGCUUCUGUGGGGACACAGGGACGCGACAGGCGUGCGCAGGAGAGAGGUCACAUGAGCAGAACUGGUAAACAGCUAGUGUGAGGCGAACCUCUGACAAGAUUUCUUGGCAAAACUGGAGAAACAAGCUCUGCCCCAGCGGCUGCAAACCUCAGCCCCACCUGAGUCUGCAAAUGAAGUUGGACUGGAGCCGGGCUGCGCGCCCAGGCAUGCUCUCCCUUCCCUGUCCCGGCCACGUCCCCGCUACUUCGGCGCAAGUGAGCAGCUGGGCCCCCCAAGAGGAAACCCUUUCCCACCGGCUCUCCACGUCCAGGCUCUGGGGGGGAACAUGUUGACACCUGUCAAAACUGCACACGUGUGUCCACUAUACCAGCAAGCCAUUCCUCCAUUUCAGCACACACAUUAUCCUCACACACGCAGUAACCGGCACAAGGCGACUGUUAUGGCACUGCCUGGAGUAGAAGCAACCACGACAUGGCAACAGCUUGACCUGAUGGAGGACUGCCUACAGCCGUGGGGGCACGUGUGUGUGCCGACCCCAAGGCUCCAGAGCGCUCCAUUAGGGGAGCAGCAGGGCUCAGAGAGCUCGGAGAGAACACUGCUUUGGAGACUAUACAGCGUCAUCCUGGCUUCUGCCCUGGGUCCUCGUGACCCUUGAGGGGGCACUGGGGACAAGCAAACCACAGGCCAAGUGCCCAUCAAUGCCCUGAGAUGGAGCCGAGCCUGGAGCACCCAUCUGCCUGCCAAGGCACUCCCCCCCCUUGAAAGGCACUGAGGGCCACACAGGGGACUCCAGGCUCCGCGGCAGCAUGUUGGUCAGCCCCAGCUGGUUGUGGAAGCCAAUUCUACCAUCUGGCAAGCAGGUUUCUAACCUAGCUCUAAGACGAGGAGGAAAAAAACAUACAAACAAAACCUACACACCUGCAUCCAGAAGAAGAGCCGUUUGGACCCUGCCUUGAACUUGAGCACGUAGACCCUCCCGCUGGGGCACUGCGGCACGCGCUUGAACUCACAGUCGUCAGGGAAGAUGAUCAAAUCCUGUAGAGCCACAGGAGGGGAGAGUCAUGGUCCCGUGACCCAUCAAGCCCCCGAGCCUCCCAGGAACACAUGCUGGGCUGUGUCUCAGCGUGUAGGGUGGGGAGGAGGGCACAGGGCCCAGAUCACCCUCCUCACCAGCAGGGCCUCUCAGGGCGGAUAAGCCUGGGGCAGAGGCACCCAGGAAGGAGAAGGGCUUCCGGGCCAGGCACAGGCCUGGUGCUGAACAGGGAACGCAGGCUCAUGAAGGAUUUUUUAAUAGAAACAUUGUGGGAACAUUCCCAGAUGAGUCAAAAAGCCAACUCUGACCUGCCCUUGAACCUAACACAGAACAAUUCAGUCUGAAGGACAAAGAACACUAGGUAGAAUGACCACUGGAGGGAGCUGUCUGGUGGGCUGGAGUAAAGGUCAGGAUUUUUACAUGGCUUCACCCAUUCUAGUACCUAAUCUUCAAAGUUUAAAGUAUAUGGGUGACGCCCGGCUGGUGUGGCUCAGUGGUUGAGCAUCGACCUAUGAACCUGGAGGUUACAGUUUGAUUCCUGGUCAGAGCACACGCCUGGGUUGAGGGCUCGAUCCCCAGUGUGGGGUGUGCAGGAGGCAGUCAUCCAUGAUUCUCUCUCAUCAUUCCUCCCUCUCUCUCUCUCUCCCCCCCUCUGAAAUCCAUAAAAAUGUAAUAAGUAAAUAAAGCAUAUACAGUGACACAGUGACGGGAGAAACCUAUGUCAUCAGUGGGCCUGGGAAGACCAAUAAGCAAAUCAAAACAGCUCAUGGGGCAGCCAAGCAGCAACGCCACACACCCACCCACGGCCUCCCGGUGAUGCUGCCACCGCCAGUGGCCGCCAAGAGGGCAGAGACUCACGUCUUCCACGUUCCCAGACGUCCUGUCUUUCCAGCAGAAGUGAAUGAGGGAGUCAUCCGUCUGCUGAAUGUACACGAGCCCUUUUCUUUUGUCUGGGGUGACAGUUGUUCCUUUUAACGACAUUUUUCCUGCCCGAAACUCCACCAAAUACUUGUUGGAGGACCCACGGGAGCCUGG